rnacentral:rRNA from 1 species
UACGGAGGGAGCUAGCGUUGUUCGGAAUUACUGGGCGUAAAGCGCACGUAGGCGGCUUUGUAAGUUAGAGGUGAAAGCCCGGGGCUCAACUCCGGAACUGCCUUUAAGACUGCAUCGCUUGAAUCCAGGAGGGGUGAGUGGAAUUCCGAGUGUAGAGGUGAAAUUCGUAGAUAUUCGGAAGAACACCAGUGGCGAAGGCGACUUACUGGACACAUAUUGACGCUGAGGUGCGAAAGCGUGGGGAGCAAACAGG